CCCUUAGAUGUCCUGGGCUGCACGCGCGCUACACUGAUGUGUCCAGUAAGCACCUAACCUCUUCCGAAAGAACGGGUAACCUUUGCAAAGCACAUCGUGAUGGGGAUAGAUUAUUGCAAUUAUUAGUCUUGAACGAGGAAUUCCUAGUAAGCACAAGUCAUCAGCUUGUGUUGAUUACGUCCCUGCCCUUUGUACACACCGCCCGUCGCUCCUACCGAUUGAAUGUUCCGGUGAGCUCUUCGGACUGCGCGGUCUGCAGUUUCUGCGUUCCGUGCGGAAAGUUGCGCAAACCUUAACAUUUAGAGGAAGGAGAAGUCGUAACA
rnacentral:rRNA from 1 species